GGAAGCAAAGGCUCUGAGCAUAACAGAAAUGGGGAGUGAGAGACAGGAAACUAACAGUUAAUUAUGGUACAUAGUCACUACUUCAGGGUUAGUGGUUUCUCUUUGCUUCUCAUUGGCGCCAAAUAGCCUACAUCUCAAAUUACAAGACAGAAUCUUACUUGAAGAUGAAGCUCAUCGUAUAACCAGGAUCCAUGUCUGUUUCCUGAGCUCCAGCUAAGAUCAAGAGUCGUCACAAACAGGAAUGAUGAGAGGGGGCAGAGUGCCUGAAUUGCAAGCAUUUGGACAGACAACCCAACACAAAUAAUACCAGUCUA